rnacentral:misc_RNA from 1 species
AUUGAUCCCGAGUAGCCAAGACUGCAUGACAUUAAAACAAAAAAUGCUCUUUACAACCACUAUGUUACCCAGCCCUUAGAGCUGGCCAAGGAAAAGGUACAGGGGCUGGACAAUCCACAGUGAUAGUGAAUGUCAUGAACUCAGCUAGUCUAAACACUUGGAAACCAAAGCUGGACACUGAUGGACAAGUCAACAUAGAUCACGACCAUGCAUUUUCAGGUUACUUGAGUACGAAGAUCCUCUGGUCCAUGUUUUGCUUGAAGUAUCUUUAGUGCAGUUUGCUCAUGCUGAACACUGAGGGAAUAUGCUUCCAUUAAUGACAGAGCAAUGGCUAUCGCAUGGUAACUUGCAGCUGUCUGUAUGU